CAAUUACACAAUGCCUCAUGGUUAAACAUUGUCAUUUGUCUAGAUUUCCCAUAACCAUGGAAACACACCCCUGGGUCCCCAGAAAGGUUUUAUUGAAGAGGAUAGACCUACCCUGAAUGUGAGUGGUACCUUAGGGUUCUGGAUCACAUAAAUCACAUAAAAAGGAAACUCAAGCUUGGCACUAGACGUCAUCUCUUUGCUUCCUGACUGGAUACGACAUGAGCAGUGGCCUUACUCUCCUGCCCUAUCUGUGCACCAAAAUAAACCCUGACUUGAGAAGUAAAGUGAUUAACACAUGCCUCUAGUCACUGGAGUUUAGUGCCCGUUGAUGGAGUCUGGUGCCCUUCAAAUGUACUUUGAAUGAAGGAUCAAAGGCAAAAGAGGCAUGAAUAUGACAGAGGCAACAUGGACACUGAUAUCUGAGUGAAGAAUUCAUGGCAACAGAGUCAGGACUUUCAGCAAGGACCAGAGGAUGGAAGAGACAACACAGAACUAAUCUAAUGGGACAACACUGACCUAGGAGCCAGGAGCCACUCACAUGGCUCCAGUUGCUUUAUUAAAACAAGAUUAUGGCGAAUAUGGAAGCUGAGAGGCCUGUCCAUAAACAAUCUCAGUCACCUGGUUGGAAGAGGAUGUAGCUUGGAGAUAUGGAGACAGUGGGAAGUUGUCGUUUUGAUCCUGUAAGAAUUAUUUGAAGAAUAGGAGUGGGGUAUACAAUAGCAAUUCCAAGUGACUUUCCUGUGCUUCACC
rnacentral:lncRNA from 1 species